UUGUCUUUUCUUGAGCCCUUCCCUCAGGCCACCACAGGGUAAAUGUGAGUAGGCAGCCGAGUGGGCUCUGUCUAAUGCUUGGGAAAGAACGGUGAGACACCAGAUGAAGAUAAUGGCUAACUUCUGUGUCAUUUUAUAAAGCAUUCACGUUUUCUACUUUAUCCUCCCCGCAACCCUGAGAGGUUUAUUUCCUUUUUGUAGAUGUUAUAGUGGAGUCCCCAGAGUUUAAGGAGCUUGGGCAGCAAUUUAAACUCAGGUCUGGUCCACAGGAAAGGGCACUGUUUUUCUGGGUCCCUCCAUGGUGUUUGUCUAGAGAGGGGGAGGUUUGGAGUGAGCUGGAGCUCCCCAUCUUGCAGACAGAUGAGGGCUGGACAGAAGCGGGUGCCUGGCUGGGCCCCCUCCACCAGCACCAUUUGCUCUCCACCAAGCGCACACAAGGGAAGAAAGUGAGCGUAACUCCUCUUCAAAGCCUUUGAGACACAACUAAGAUCACAAUGUGUUGCCAUCCUGCCUCCAUGAGUCUAUGCUACAGAAUUUCUAGCACCAGCACGUGGACCUUUAUGACAAGGAAGUUCACUUUGGCAUGGUUUGGAACAGCAAGAAAUUGGAAAAAAUUUACGUGCCUUCACCGGGGAUCAGUUACCUAAGCCGGGCUACCCCUGUGCGGUGGGUUCCGGGAAGCCUCUGAGAAAGGGCACGUGACAUCCUCAGGCCUUUCCAGAACCUUAGGAGUGAUUAAGGAUAUGAAAAUCUGAGCUAUUCCAACAACCACGUCCACGUCCACCUGACCUGUGCCUUCGCAUCCCCAAGGAGCUGGGAGAUGUUAGCUGGCGAGGAGUAAGAUGGAAGAGCAUACCGGAGCUGCAGCAGAACCCCGUCUGCCUGGCUCUGCCUCCUCCCCGCCCUGGGCCAAGUACCCUCCUCUCACUGAGCCUGUUUCCCCAGCUAUAAAGCGAGGAGACUGGACAACAAUCUCUAGAAUCUUCUGACCAUGACCGACUGCCAGUCCACCUUGCCAAAGCUCUUAGCACCCUUGGUACAAGUCCUGGGCUGGGUCAGCCAAGGCAAGCCCUCUCUUGUCUGUGCUUGUGAGUCACUGGCCACCCAGGUUUGGGCUUUAUCCCCCAUCCCACCCCAGCCCUCCAGGCUCUUGCUCGUGACCCUGGCUGGCCACUUCCCCAAACCAGCCUCUGAGUGAGGCCUUGCUGUCUUUCAGAGCUCUUGUGGGAACUGACACAGAAGCUAAGAAGGGAGAGAGCUGUUUGAGGAGUGGAAAGGCUCCCUCCAGGGCCGGGGUGAUUGUCCUUUCUCUCCAGUGUCCAGGAUCUCAGCAGGGUGCCCAGCGUGGACUUCUCCACCAUCCAAAGUGGACAGUGGGAAUGUGACAUCACAAGGGAGGUACAGCCAGGGACACUGGGACAAGAAGGAGCUCCCUGGUGACUGCUUUCCAUGCAUGGUUUCAGUUAUCAUGACAGCCUAUUAUACAGACAGAGAAACUGAGGCCCAGAGAAACCAAGGGCCCUGUCCAAGAUCACAUGGUUAAAAGAGGCAGCGCAGGGAUUUGAACUCCAGCCUGUUUGGGACUUGGAGCACCGGGGAAGGUCCACGCGCUGUGGUCACUACUGCCACAUCCCGCGAAACCCUGGGAGGCUCGCCGACUCUUCAGUGCUCGGUUGUUUAUAAUUCACAGCCCCUGCCCUCUUCCAGAAGUUUAAGUCAGCUUCCCAGAAAGAUGUGUACGUUCAAGGAGAAGCACAAGGCUUUGGAGGCAGCGGGGGGCCCAGCAGGACUGGGGGGUGGGAACGUGCGCCAGCUCCCACCUAGGACUGGGCGGUGAUGGCAUCAUAGAGCCCCUGUGAAGUCACCCAGUUCCUGGGAGGCCCAGCUAUUAGCAGAUUCCAGCUUUAAUGAGAACCCCCAAGGUCGAGGUGCUGUGCUGAAGUGAAAGUCCUUUCCUCCCUAGGCCUUGGGUUGUCCCCACAAUGUCACUGCCCCAGUCCUUGCCCAGCAUUCAGUUCAUCUGGAGUCACCCCCUUAGCAAGCCUUUCCUUUCCCACUUAUGGGUCCCUGUGAAACAAUGAAAAGAGAGAGGGCUGGGCUUGGUGUCAGAGACACGUGGGGAUUGAGUCCAUCCCACGUGGGCACGUGACCUGGCCAAGGGACGUUACUGCUGAGCGGCAGCUUCCUCAUAGCUGAAUCUGAACCAAGGUGGUGGUGUCAUCCCAGCAUUCGUUCCCCCUUCUCCUGCCAACAGCACCCCAGUACCCUCUGGAAGUUUCCCCUCCCUCACCCCUAGUCCCUAUGGGACCCCAGCCUUAACUAUUUCACCUUAUCUCCCGGCCACAGUGACUGAUGUCAGGAAUAGCCACAGGACUCAAGCCAGACCAAGCAGAGCCAGGUCUGGGACCUUUGUUGGAAGUAUUGGGAAAGUGGCAGGGGAUGGAGGGAUGCACCCUCCUGGGGCAGCUAAGCUGGUGUUUCAGCUGGCCAGCUUACCACCUUGAGCCGGACCUGCCUGAGAAUGUAUCCAGCCGGGGGAGAGCAGAUAGGGUGAGACAAUGACUCCUGAUGACAUUGCUUGGGCAUCAUGAUCUAGCCGUACCUGAAGCUGUUAUGCUCGAGGCUUGUCAGUAACUUAAGCUUAGUUCGAUCAUUUAUGGAGCUAAGGAGCCAGAGAUAGCUAAUUUCC